rnacentral:rRNA from 1 species
AUUGAACGCUGGCGGCAGGCCUAACACAUGCAAGUCGAGCGAGCGGCGGACGGGUGUGUACUGUCUGGGAAACUGCCUGAUGGAGGGGGAUAACUACUGGAAACGGUAGCUAAUACCCCAUACCCUCCGAUGUGCCCCGAUGGGAUUAGCUCGUAGGUGGGGUAAGGGCGCACCGAGGCGACGAUCCCUAGCUUGUCUGAGAGGAUGACCAGCCACACCGGAACUGAGACACGGUCCAGACUCCUACGGGAGGCAGCAGGGGGGAAUAUUGCACAAUGGGCGCAAGCCUGAUGCAGCCAUGCCGCGUGUGUGAAGAAGGCCUUCGGGUUGUAAAGCACUUUCAGCGGGGAGGCGUUACCCGCAGAAGAAGCACCGGCUAACUCCGUGCCAGCAGCCGCGGUAAUUC